CUUCCUUACUCUCUUUCUCUCAGUCCUCUUAUCUUCUUUUCCCCUUCUUCAUUUAAUUCUCUUCCUUGCACCCAAGCUUAGUCCUCGAUCUUCUUCCUGACAUGCAAAGGGUCUUCUUCUCGACUUCACCUUUUUCUCCUCGGCGUUUAGCUUUGCUUCUUCUCGGCGUGACUCGGCGUUUAGCUUUACUUCUUCUCGGUGUGUGGUACUAAUUUCGUCUGGUCUGAGCUGUGGAUGAAAGAACAGAGUGGAAAUUGAUUUGAAGAAAUCGAGUCCCCAAAUGUUUAUGUUUGUGGUUGUGGAUUGAUUGAUAAACUAUUUUUUUAUUUGUGAGAUGUUUUAUGUUUGUGUUUCCUUUGAUUUGUAACUUAGAUUAAUUAUA